ensembl:processed_transcript
ACUCACACUUUUUUUUCAUUACAAACCCUCAGCCUCACACAUUUACAACCUUUUUCCCUCCAAGGAUUUUCUUUUUCUUAGAAAAUCUCUAUCCAAAGGAUAUUUGUGAGCUUGCAUGGCUGCGCCCCUGGAAACCAGCUGCUCAUGUUGAUUUUAUAGCCCAUAAUGAUGGAGAGAUAUUUCAGUGUUCUGCUUCUUG